UCUGCAACCCGGCUACAUGAAGCUGGAAUCGCUAGUAAUCGCGGAUCAGAAUGCCGCGGUGAAUACGUUCCCGGGUCUUGUACACACCGCCCGUCACACCAUGGGAGUCGGAAAUGCCCGAAGUCAGUGACCUAACCGAAAGGAAGGAGCUGCCGAAGGUGGAGCCGGUAACUGGGGUGAAGUCGUAACAAGGUAAC
rnacentral:rRNA from 1 species